CAGCUCAGGGCAAAACUGGAGGAUAUGCAUACUUGAAGGUUUCCACAUAUAGAAACAUCAAGCCACUUUGUGGGUAAGCAUCAAGCCGAGAAUGCGAAAAAGUCCCGGAUGUGUUCUCGCGCCGCCCGUUUUAUCGAGCAUGCAUCGGUGGUGACUUGUGUGGACUUGGUACAGCUAAAUAUCCCAGAAUGCAUUUCGUCCAAAACUCAAACGCGGCAAUGGCGGACGAGCAGGGCUAAGGGAAGCCCAAGAAGCAAAUAUCUGUGACAACCAUGAUGGGACCUACCUGGUGUUUUAACACCAGCUGCUCAGUCCAUCCAGACUCCCCUCCAUAUGCAACAGUGAUGCCAGCAACUCAAAUACAAGCUCUCUCCAAGUGAUUCCUUCAUCAUCAACAUCUGCAUCCACGAUCCAUUAGCUCAACAGCAACAUCUGUCAGCUGUGCAUCCAACUCGAGGGCAUCGCCUGCUGUGCUCAGGCGCUGGGCUGCAAUUUCCGUCCCUUGUUGAUGGCCUCGCUGUAUGCUGUGCUGGAGAAAGCUGGUGAGGAGACGCUGCUGGUCAGCCAGGUGACGCUGAGCUCCAUGUAGGACAUCAGCAAGGCCUGUGGAUACGCUUCCCUCAAGGAACUGAUCAAUGAGAACUCUGACUACCUGCUUAAUG